rnacentral:rRNA from 1 species
CCUACGGGUGGCAGCAGUGAGGAAUAUUGGUCAAUGGCCGGAAGUCUGAACCAGCCAAGUCGCGUGCGGGAAGACGGCCCUACGAGUUGUAAACCUCUUUUGUCCAAGGGCAAAGUUCAAUUCGUGACCUCCUCUGAGAGUACCUUACGAAUAAGGAUCGGCUAACUCCGUGCCAGCAGCCGCGGUAAUACGGAGGAUGCAAGCGUUAUCCGGAUUUAUUGGGUUUAAAGGGUGCGUAGAUGGGUUGUUAAGUCAGGUGUGAAAGGUUGCGGCUUAACCGUGAAAUUGCAAUUGAUACUGGUAGUCUUGAGUAUAGUUGAGGUAGGCGGAAUGUAUGGUGUAGCGGUGAAAUGCUUAGAUAUCAUGAAGAACCCCGAUUGCGAAGGCAGCUUACCAAACUGUGACUGACAUUGAGGCUCGAAAGCGUGGGUAGCAAACAGGAUUAGAUACCCUAGUAGUC